ACGGCUCAGUAACACGUGGUCAACAUGCCCAGGGGACGUGGAUAACCUCGGGAAACUGAGGCUAAACCGCGACAGGCCAAGAUUUCUGGAAUGGAUCAUGGCUUAAAUCUAUAUGGCCCCUGGAUUGGACUGCGGCCGAUCAGGCUGUUGGUGAGGUAAUGGCCCACCAAACCUGUAACCGGUACGGGCUCUGAGAGGAGGAGCCCGGAGAUGGGCACUGAGACAAGGGCCCAGGUCCUACGGGGCGCAGCAGUCGCGAAACCUUUGCAAUACACGAAAGUGUGACAGGGUCAUCCCGAGUGCCGACCGCUGAGGUUGGCUUUUACCCAGUCUAGAAAGCUGGGGGAAUAAGGAGAGGGCAAGUCUGGUGUCAGCCGCCGCGGUAAUACCAGCUCUCCGAGUGGUGUGGACGUUUAUUGGGCCUAAAGCAUCCGUAGCUGGCUGAUCAAGUCCCCUGUUAAACCCACCGAUUUAAUCGUUGGCUUGCGGGGGAUACUGCUCGGCUAGGGGACGAGAGAGGCAGACGGUAUUCCCGGGGUAGGGGUGAAAUCCUAUAAUCCCGAGAAGACCACCAGUGGCGAAGGCUGUCUGCUAGAACGCGCCCGACGGUGAGGGAUGAAAGCUGGGGGAGCGAACCGGAUUAGAUACCCGGGUAGUCCCAGCUGUAAACGAUGCAGGCUAGGUGUUUGGACGGCCACGCGCCGUUCUAGUGCCGCAGGGAAGCUGUUAAGCCUGCCGCCUGGGGAGUACGAUCGCAAGAUUGAAACUUAAAGGAAUUGGCGGGGGAG
rnacentral:rRNA from 1 species